GCUUACGGCCAUACUACCAUAGGCACGCCCGAUCUCGUCUGAUCUCGGAAGCUAAGCAGGGUCGGGCCUGGUUAGUACUUGGAUGGGUGACCGCCUGGGAAUACCAGGUGCUGUAAGCA
ensembl:rRNA 5S_rRNA 5S ribosomal RNA